rnacentral:lncRNA from 1 species
UUUAACAAAGAUUGACUCGGUUUCAACAAGGAUAUCCUUAUAAUACACAAGGGAUUUAUAAGGAGCCAAGGGCUGGAAAUGCCAUCCAGAAGGAAAGAACUGGGCGACCAAUUUGACUGGGUCAUCUUUAGGUUUCAUAUGGGGUUCAAUAUGAAAUAGGUGAGUGGUCCAUUUGAGCAUAUACUCAGAAGGAGGAUGACUGGGG